rnacentral:rRNA from 1 species
AGUGAACGCUGGCGGUAGGCCUAACACAUGCAAGUCGAACGGCAGCACAGUAAGAGCUUGCUCUUACGGGUGGCGAGUGGCGGACGGGUGAGGAAUACAUCGGAAUCUACUUUUUCGUGGGGGAUAACGUAGGGAAACUUACGCUAAUACCGCAUACGACCUACGGGUGAAAGCAGGGGAUCUUCGGACCUUGCGCGAUUGAAUGAGCCGAUGUCGGAUUAGCUAGUUGGCGGGGUAAAGGCCCACCAAGGCGACGAUCCGUAGCUGGUCUGAGAGGAUGAACAGCCACACUGGAAAUGAGACACGGUCCAGACUCCUAAGGGAGGCAGCAGUGGGGAAUAUUGGACAAUGGGCGCAAGCCUGAUCCAGCCAUACCGCGUGGGUGAAGAAGGGCUUCGGGUUGUAAAGCCCUUUUGUUGGGAAAGAAAAGCAGCAGGUUAAUACCCCGCUGUUCUGACGGUACCCAAAGAAUAAGCACCGGCUAACUUCGUG